rnacentral:RNase_P_RNA from 1 species
AAGAAACAUAAAGAGGAAAGUCCGGGCAACAGAGAGCAACGCAUUUUCUAACGGAAAGCCGAUGGCGACGUCGGGGAUCAAUGUGACAGAAAACAACCGCCGGCAACUGCUCGCAGAUGUCGGCAAGGGUGAAAAGGCGGGGUAAGAGCCCACCGGAACAUAUGGCGACAUAUGUUGCCGCACAUCCUGCGUGUUGCAAGGCCAAAUAUACCGGCACGGAGCCCCUUUGGUUCCAAUGGGCUGCUCGUCCAUGCCGGGGGGUAGGCUGCUGAAGCCGUCGGGCAACCGGCGGAUUAGAUAAAUGACAGACUCCUUUCCGUAAGGGCAGGAACAUAACCCGGCUUACAUCUUUUCU